rnacentral:miRNA from 1 species
ACUCUCAUCAACUGAGAGUGAUUCCUCUCGGCCGGUGAGAGUGUACACUCUCAUUGACCGAGAGUGAUUCCUCUCGGCUGGUGAGAGU